GUCUUCGAGGUGUAACGGUAGCACACUCGGCUCGUUUUCGAAAGAUCCAGGUUCGAGUCCCGGCGAGGGCA
rnacentral:tRNA from 1 species